rnacentral:rRNA from 1 species
GACGAGCGCUGGCGGCGUGCUUAACACAUGCAAGUCGAACGGAAAGGCCCUGCUUUUGUGGGGUGCUCGAGUGGCGAACGGGUGAGUAACACGUGAGUAACCUGCCCUUGACUUUGGGAUAACUUCAGGAAACUGGGGCUAAUACCGGAUAGGAGCUCCUGCUGCAUGGUGGGGGUUGGAAAGUUUCGGCGGUUGGGGAUGGACUCGCGGCUUAUCAGCUUGUUGGUGGGGUAGUGGCUUACCAAGGCUUUGACGGGUAGCCGGCCUGAGAGGGUGACCGGCCACAUUGGGACUGAGAUACGGCCCAGACUCCUACGGGAGGCAGCAGUGGGGAAUAUUGCACAAUGGGCGGAAGCCUGAUGCAGCAACGCCGCGUGCGGGAUGACGGCCUUCGGGUUGUAAACCGCUUUCGCCUGUGACGAAGCGUGAGUGACGGUAAUGGGUAAAGAAGCACCGGCUAACUACGU